AUACCUGAAUCAUAUGCCAUACACAGCGCCAUGCCUUGCGAGAGAAAACAUGAACCAUGAUCUCCACAAAUCUGAUUUUGGUUUUAAUAGCAAGAAUGAUGAGACUAGUCACUUUCUAUGCAAAUCCCUUUUGCUAAAUUCAUUUAUACCCAUUCCUCUCCUCGAUAUUGAAUAAUUGGAUUUUGCUGAAAAAUAAAGCAUUUAAACAUCUCUUCUCUUCGCGUCGUUAGAAUUCGAUCUGCUUUCUUUUGAGUUUCACCAGUAUUCUCUUCUUCCGUAUCCUUCGCCUCAUCUCAUCUGCCUAGAGUUGUCAAAAUGGGGGGACUGCUCGUUUCCAAUGCUUAAUGGAUAGGUAUGGACAAGCCCAUUAUGAAGCGGGCAUUAAUGGUCAUGGUCGUUAACGGACAUGGGCUUUAGCGGACUGGAUGUGAUGGACAUGGGCGGCCCAAUAGUCAUAAAAUAUUAGGUUAAGUGAUUUGGGAGAAAAUAGAAAAACAUCAAUUCGUCAAAUAUUUGUGUCUUAGUUUCUUCGGUGAUUACUUCCGCGAUUUCCUUCCUACGGCGACUUCUUUCUCCGACGAAUCUCGGCUCCUGUUUAAUCUAGGUUCGAAUCUCGUCUCCAUAUCUUUAAUCGUUUU